UACGUAGGGGGCUAGCGUUGUUCGGAAUUACUGGGCGUAAAGCGCACGUAGGCGGCUUUGUAAGUUAGAGGUGAAAGCCCGGGGCUCAACCCCGGAAUUGCCUUUAAGACUGCAUCGCUUGAAUCAUGGAGAGGUGAGUGGAAUUCCGAGUGUAGAGGUGAAAUUCGUAGAUAUUCGGAAGAACACCAGUGGCGAAGGCGACUCACUGGACAUGUAUUGACGCUGAGGUGCGAAAGCGUGGGGAGCAAACAGG
rnacentral:rRNA from 1 species